AGAGGAGAAAAUACCUAAAACUAUGGAAAAAGAAAAAGCUGUAAAAAGAAAGGGGCAGACAAAGAAAAGACCAAUUCACAGAGUGGAUGCUAAUAUGGAAAAGACUGAGGAAGAGACAAAUUGGGACACAGAUGCCGAACUGACACUACACAAAAUUACAGCAACACUGCAUAACCCUCCACGGGUGAGCAUCAUGAAAAGUGAAACUGAUUCAAUGUCAUCUGUAAUAAAAGUGCAACCAAAAAUUGAGGGAUUUCCAAUUGAGAUGGAAGUGGAUACGGGUGCGUGCGGCGGUUUCUAUUAUCUCAGGGGAACUGCACAGAGAUAAACUGAGUCAUGUUCAACUACGCCAUACAAACGUUCUCAAGACAUAUACAGGAAAGGCAGCUCUUCUAUUGGGACAAGAAUGGCUUCGUAGAAUUCGUCUAGACUGGCAGGAGAUCAACACUGUAAGAGCAGUACACCAUACUAAUGAAGGGACAUUGGACAGUCUUCUAAAAAGGUAUGCCAAAGUAUUCAAAGAAGAUCUAGGGACAUUCAAUGGGUAUACAGCCACCUUAAAUUUGAAACCGGGAACUCAAUCGAGAUUUUUCCAAGCUCAAGUGGUACCGUAUGGCAUCAGACCCAAGGUGGAGGAAGAAAUUGAUUGCCUGUUGAAACAAGGUAGCAUUACACUUUUGUGAUUCAGUGAAUGGGCAACCUCGAUUGUUACCGGAAUCAAAAAGGGUGGCUCUGUGUGUAGAACAUUAUCCACUACCCCGAAUAGAAAAUUUAUUUGCUUCACUGGCCGGAGGACAAAGAUUUAGCAAAAUAGAUCUUUCACAUGCCUACUUGCAGAUUACUGUACAUGAAGAUUCAUGACCCACAAAGGGAUGUUUGUAUACAAUAGAUUACCUUUCGGUAUUAUGUCAGCUCCAUCGAUAUUCCAACAAGUUAUGGAACAAGUGCUACAAGGGCUACCGUUUGUCCAUUUUUUUUUUUUUUUGGAUGACAUCCUGGUCACAGGAAAAGACGAUGCUCAUCAUUUGUCUAACCUGGAGGCUGUGUUGAGUAGACUGGAGAAAUGUGGACUUCAUGUUAAAAGAGAGAAGAGGGAGUUUUUCUAAAGUUCGUUGUAAUGUUUGGGACAUGUGAUCGAUGCAUUAGGGCUUCACAAGUCCACAGACAAACUGUGUGCUAUCGCAGAUGCACCAGCUCCUGUUAACAUGAACCAACUCCGAUCCUUUCUGGGUCUGGUUAAUUAUUAUGCCAGAUUUGUGCCAAAUCUGGACACAGUGCUUCACCCCCUGAAUGCAAUGCUACACAAAGAGGCAAAAUGGAAGUAGUCUUCAGAGUGUGAGAGGGCUUUUCAGGAUGUUAAAACUCAACUUUUAAUACCCAAUCUACUCAUACACUAUAAUCCAAGACUCCCAGUUCGCUUGGCUUGUGAUGCUUCGCCCUACAGGGUGGGAGCUGUACCUUCACACAUGAUGCCGGAUGACCAGGAAAGACCUAUAGCCUUUGCGUCCCGAACCCUGAGUAAAGCAGAGCAAAAUUACGCACAACUACAGUGAAAAGCACUAGGAAUUAUUUUCGGAGUAAGGAAGUUUCACACUUAUCUAUAUGGACGUCACUUCACAUUACUAACAGAUCAUCGUCCAUUUACCACCGAAAUCCAUCCUAACAAAGCAACUCCAUCCAUGGCUGCUUUCUGCUGGCU